UGUUGUUUACAAUUUGGAAAGUAAUAAUAAUUAUGGAUUGGUUUGUCCUCGCUUCCAUUAAUUUAAGUCUUAAAUGUUGAAGGAUGAUUCAAAGCACAAGUCAUAAUAUUAUUGUCACUUUCAAUAUAUUACUAAUAGCAAAUUGUAUUUUAUUAUUCUUGAAAGGUGACUAGGCCAAAAGUUUCAAGCUCAUCUGCAAUUGUCGUAAUUAUCGGAUGCCACAUGUUAGGGGGGCCAACUUUCAAUUUCGUGAAUCAUGCCUGCUUCAGUUGUUCCCUUGUGUGCUUUAAAUCAGUACCACACGGUUGUGAGCCGAUGAUGAUGGUUACUUGAAACUAUCAAAUACAGGAUAGGAGACCAAAAUGGCUCGAGGAUAACAGCGCCACAUGACUACAUGGAAGAAUUUAAGCUCAGGGCUAAGUACGCUGCAGUGGUUUUAGUACACCAUGAGUAGGAUUUAUUUAGGCAAAAUUCUGCAAAAUAAAACGUUUGUCACAUUUUAUCAAAUAAUUUUUUUUUCUUUUUAUUUUUAAAAUAUUAAUUUUACGUCUCUUUGUAAAUUUAAGUUAGCAAAAUUUUUGUUUCAAUUUAAGUUUUUGACCACUUUUGAAAGUAAAUUUGAUUUUGGUAGUUGCAAGAGGUUCUUGAUACAUAACACCUUCAACUUGGUUUCUAGUCAUUAGUCCAUUUACCCAUAAAUCCUUUUGCUUUUAUUUUUUUUAGAUACGAUAGACCUAAAGAGAUCUAAGAUAAUUUGAAGGGGACUGAACCAUCAUCGAAUCAGACAGGUGCACUUUGAAUUUUUUAAGUAGAAUCACUUUUUUUAAUGUAGUGAGUGCACCUGUUUGAAUUUUUUAAGUAGAAUCACUUUUUUUAAUGUAGUGAAUUGGUGGGAGGCAAAGGUUGUAUCCCACCACGCUUUAAUGUAACUUUUGACUUCCACCCCACCUAGCCUUUGAGCUGGUGGUUCCUUAAAUCCUUCUGCUUGCAAUAGCAUCUUUUGUCUUUUCUAGUUUAUGCUCUUGUUGUUACUUAAAACCUUUUUGAAAUAGUAGUGAUCAACAAUUUGCCUGAGAAUAUCCAUAGCAGGCCGCAGGAGUAGUAAAUAGAGUAACAAAACACUACUGCUAAGUGCUAAAUGACUUGUCUGUUUCUGUACGUAGCUUGCAAUAAAGGCACUUUUCUUGCUGCUGCGAGACAACAGGACCCGAAGAGGCAUCUCGAGGAUACAUGGCUAGCCCCACCAAAUUAACUCUUAUCUCCGAUAUGAUUGCGAAGGCCCCCCCCCCCCCCACCCACAAAGCCCAUUUCAAAAGAUUCAAAACAUGACCUUUCAGUUUCAGCAGCAUGUGCAAUUCGCACAAGGGCCUGAGGAAGGAAGGAAGGAGGGAAAUCACCUUGGUACCUUAACCCAAAUGAUUUAUUUCGCAACUGCCAAGUGCAUAAUUCACCAAAAGAUAAAAAGGCGAACAAUGGUGUUAAAUCAAAGAGAAAACCAUGCAUAUUCAAACGUCUUUUCGACCCAUCCGCUGGUAAAUGUCGUUUGCAUCCUGUCUUAAGGAGACGUAUUUAGGAAUGCAGAGUUGCAGACCUCCGGGGUUGGCAAGGCUUCAAUGGAAUAGCUUAGGCUUGUUCUUAAUUUCUGUUUUAAUUAUUUUGUUAUGUUUCGAAAAUUCAACUAUAUAUAUAUAUGAAAGUAACUAUUUUAAUUA
rnacentral:lncRNA from 1 species